AUCAUGGAUGUUCUGGAGAUCCAUGCAGGGAAGCAGGUGGAGACGUUUGAGAGGAGGAACAGAGAUGUUGAUGGAGAAAGGAUGCUGAGGAAAGAGGAGGACCAAAGAGGGGGGUCAUGGAUGAAGGAGGACAUGAGGUCAGAGGAGAAGGUUAGAUGAGAGCGAAUGAUGUGCUGUAGCGCCCCCUAAAGGGAACAAAGAAGAAGCUCCCGUGUCUGAUUAUUCUCAGAUCAUAAUCCAGUUAUCCGUUUUUCUGGGAUGGAAUCGGACUAAGAAUCAACUCUCUGUCUGGAUCUGUGUGCAGAUCCAGUGUUACCAGACCAGGUUCCUCACCUCCUCCAUCUGUGCUGCUGUCUCCUCUCUCCUUUUCACAGGAAGUCCCGCCCCUGGCCGCAGCGCGCCCAUCGGGAUGUUCAGAUUAGCCUGACGGACAAUGAAACCUUCGAGUCUCAUCAGAACAUCGGUCCUGAGGUGUAGUGGAUCAUCCAGACGCUCCUCUGGGUUCUUGUUGCUCCAAUGUGUCUUUGAACUCUCCACGGAUCCAUGUUUGUCCAGACGUUUCUUCCUGAUUGUUGGAUCAUCAUCUCUGACCUGACCUGCUUUCCAUCUUCCUCUGUGGGGACCUCCUGGAUGAAUUCUUGGAGGUUCCUUUGGUUCAGCAGCUUUUGGUGUCAGUAGAUAUGAAGGAACUCGGUGAAGAUGAGGCGAUCACAGUGGGAUACGGCGUGAUGCGUGACACUAAAGUUCCAUUUCCUAUGUGCAUAAUUAUUGGUGAUUACAUUUACCGAUU